rnacentral:tRNA from 3 species
CGGGGUGUAGCGCAGCCUGGUAGCGCACUGCGUUCGGGACGCAGGUGUCGGAGGUUCAAAUCCUCUCACCCCGACCA